CUAUUGGUGGCUCCAGCAAUAUCUCAUGUAAUUAACUUUACUUCUAUAAAGGAAGAGGAGUUGUAUGAAAUUGAUGUUCCAUUGGAAUUCGAAGCCCCUGUGGGUACUAGAAUUCAUGGGUUGGCGUGUUGGUUUGAUGUAUUGUUCGAUAGGAGUACUGUACAAAGGUGGCUGAGCACAGCUCCUGGUGCGCCUACAACCCACUAGUAUCAGCUGCGUUGCGUCCUCUCUCAGCCACUUUAUGUCAUGCCAGGACAAGAAAUUACAAGCCGACUCCACAUGAUUGCACACAAUGCUCAGAGUUAUUCUAUUAACUUAACGAUGACAACUAAAAGUUGGGGCGCUGGUGCCGGACAAUGAGGAAUAGUCCAGACAUCAUCCAGCAAAUUUGAUCUCAAAGAGCCUUAUUAUCGAAUGUCUCAACCCCAAGCCUACUCAAUCGCCCAAGAUCAGCCAACACAUCAUCUAACAAAUACACAGGAUAUACAAAUACAAUCACAGGAUGAAGAAGGAUUUGAGUUGAUGCAUCAACCAUAUCAAAAUGUGGAUAUUGAGUACAUUGAGUGAGUCAUUAAAAAAAUAAAUAAAAAGAAAAAGAAAUAUCAAUUCAUUAGCGGUUAGCAUACGAUACGUGU